rnacentral:piRNA from 1 species
UGAGAGGUUCAUUAAUUAGGUAGACCUGU